UAAUUAUCCAAAUGGACUGUACAACACAAAUUCCACCUUAAAAAUAGAAUUAAUAUACAUGGGAUUGAGAUGAGUAAUUUCUGCGUUAUAUCACUUAUAUAUUUACAUCAAGUAUACUGAAUCACUCUUAUCAAUUAAGCAGUUUUCUUAGAAUAAGAGACGAAGUGGAGUUAACAUAAGGAGGAAUUGACCAAAUGAUUUGAAUGAAGGAUUAUAACUAUCUCUAUUCCACACUGGGUAUUUCAGUAGAUUAAUUCUAUCUUUUUAUAGAACUCCUCAGUUCUUAUACAGGAAUUUAUGUAUUCUUGACAAUGUUGGAUCGGUCUAAAAGAAUACAAAAAAAAAAAAAAGACUGUAGUCCUUUUUAGUCCAGUCCUAAUAAAAUUUGUGAGUCAUACGAACGGCACUUAUCGGUAUUUUAUGGUUACUACCACAGCUGAAAUGACAUAAUUACUAAGUACAUAAUUUCAUUGGUAGAAGUUGCAUCAUAACAUAUUUCAAAGAGACAAGACACAUGAACUAUAAAGUAGUUGUAGUAUUUAUUGGUUCUAGCUAUGAGUGAAGAAAAUAAAAUAUCUAGGACUGAAGGACCGACUAAUUAGUCCUAAGGACCGUUGAAUGGUAAAAAAGAUUGGACUCAAAAAAAAAAAAAAAAAAAGACUGAACAGGGAAGGGGGAUAGAUUUGGAAAUUAGUCCUUGACGUGAAGGGGGAUAUUCAAAAUGAAGGAUCCUUGGAUUAAAGGAGAUAAGAUCCACGGAGUAAAGCACAAA
rnacentral:lncRNA from 1 species